CCCCUAGACGUUCUGGGCUGCACGCGCGCUACAAUAAUACGCACAGCGAGUAUCACCGAGCUCGAAAGGGCAAGGUAAACAAUAGAAAAGGUACUGUAAUGGUUAUAGAUCCUUGUAAUUAUUGAUCUUCAACGAGGAAUUCCUAGUAAGUAUGUGUCAUCAUCCCGCACUGAUUACGUCCCUGCCCUUUGUACACACCGCCCGUCGCUCCUACCGAUUGAGUGAGCCGAUGAAACUGCCGGAUGUGGACUAUUCAUAGUCUGCAGAAGAUAUUUGAAUCGUAGCGCUUAGAGGAAGGAGAAGUCGUAACA
rnacentral:rRNA from 1 species